rnacentral:rRNA from 1 species
UACGAAGGGUGCAAGCGUUACUCGGAAUUACUGGGCGUAAAGCGUGCGUAGGUGGUGAGUUAAGUCUGUCGUGAAAGCCCCGGGCUCAACCUGGGAAUGGCGAUGGAUACUGGCUCGCUAGAGUGCGGUAGAGGAGACUGGAAUUCCUGGUGUAGCGGUGAAAUGCGCAGAUAUCAGGAGGAACACCGGUGGCGAAGGCGGGUCUCUGGGCAGUAACUGACGCUGAGGAGCGAAAGCGUGGGGAGCGAACAGG